rnacentral:rRNA from 1 species
GACGAUCGCUGGGGGCGUGCUUAACACAUGCAAGUCGAACGAUGAACCCGGAGCUUGCUCCGGUGGAUUAGUGGCGAACGGGUGAAUAACACGUGAGUAACCUGCCCUUGACUCUGGGAUAACUGCGGGAAACUGUAGCUAAUACCGGAUACGACCCUCGGCGGCAUCGCCAGGGGGUGGAAAGAAUUUCGGUCAAGGAUGGACUCGCGGCCUAUCAGCUAGUUGGUGAGGUAACGGCUCACCAAGGCGACGACGGGUAGCCGGCCUGAGAGGGGGACCGGCCACACUGGGACUGAGACACGGCCCAGACUCCUACGGGAGGCAGCAGUGGGGAAUAUUGCACAAUGGGCGCAAGCCUGAUGCAGCAACGCCGCGUGAGGGAUGACGGCCUUCGGGUUGUAAACCUCUUUCAGCACCGACGAAGCGCAAGUGACGGUAGGUGCAGAAGAAGGACCGGCCAACUACGUGCCAGCCGCCGCCGUAA